rnacentral:pre_miRNA from 1 species
CUGGCUGACCAACUGUCCUGGUUUCCCCAGGACUGAGGUACUUCCUGGGGUGUAGGACUUAAAGGGCUAAAAUAAGGACAGUCCCAGGCAAACUAGGACAGUUGGUCACCCAAAUUCCCU